rnacentral:rRNA from 1 species
GUACGGGGGGGGCAAGCGUUGUUCGGAAUUACUGGGCGUAAAGGGUUCGUAGGUGGCCAACUCAGUCAGACGUGAAAUCCCUCAGCUCAACUGGGGAACUGCGUCUGAUACUAGAUGGCUCGAGUGCAGGAGAGGAACGCGGAAUUCCAGGUGUAGCGGUGAAAUGCGUAGAUAUCUGGAGGAACACCGGUGGCGAAGGCGGCGUUCUGGACUGCAACUGACACUGAGGAACGAAAGCCAGGGGAGCAAACGGG